rnacentral:rRNA from 1 species
GACGAACGCUGGCGGCGUGCUUAACACAUGCAAGUCGAACGAUGAAACCUAGCUUGCUAGGUCGAUUAGUGGCGAACGGGUGAGUAACACGUGACUAACCUGCCCCUUUCUCUGGGAUAACGCUCCGAAAGGAGUGCUAAUACCGGAUACUCACACCGAGGCACAUGCCUUGGUGUGGAAAGUUUUUCGGAAAGGGAUGGAGUCGCGGCCUAUCAGCUUGGUGGUGAGGUAACGGCUCACCAAGGCGACGACGGGUAGCCGGCCUGAGAGGGCGACCGGCCACACUGGGACUGAGACACGGCCCAGACUCCUACGGGAGGCAGCAGUGGGGAAUAUUGCACAAUGGGCGCAAGCCUGAUGCAGCGACGCCGCGUGAGGGAUGAAGGUCUUCGGAUUGUAAACCUCUUUCAGUAGGGACGAAGCGAAAGUGACGGUACCUAAAGAAGAAGCACCGGCUAACUACGUGCCAGCCGCCGUAACAC